rnacentral:rRNA from 1 species
AGGAUGAACGCUGGCGGCGUGCCUAACACAUGCAAGUCGAACGUUAGGAAAUAGCAAUAUUUCUGAAAGUGGCGAACGGGUGAGUAACACGUAGGUAACCUGCCGCGCAGAGGGGGAUAACGACUAGAAAUGGUCGCUAAUACCGCAUGGUACUAGACAGAUGGGAAUCUGACUGGUUAAAACCUUGGUGCUGCGCGAGGGGCCUGCGUCCGAUUAGUUAGUUGGUGAGGUAACGGCUCACCAAGACGAUGAUCGGUAGCUGGUCUGAGAGGAUGAUCAGUCACACGGGAACUGAGACACGGUCCCGACUCCUACGGGGGGCAGCAGUGAGGAAUAUUGCACAAUGGACGCAAGUCUGAUGCAGCAACGCCGCGUGGAGGAUGAAGGCCGUUCGGUCGUAAACUCCUUUUUUUCAGGAAGAGAAUGGACGGUACCUGAAGAAUAAGUCAGGCUAAUACGUGCCAGCAGCCGC